GACUGGGUAGCCUAGUGGUUAAGGCAUCACAUACGAGAUGUAAGGGUCCUUGGUUUGAAUCCAAGUCUAGUCA
rnacentral:tRNA from 1 species